UAGUACGGCGAGUGAAGAGGGAAGAGCCCAAGAUUGAAAGCUGGCGUCUUCGGCGUCCGCAUUGUAAUCUCAAGAAGUGUUUUCCGCUUCGGACCAUGCCUAAGUCCCUUGGAAAAGGGCAUCAUAGAGGGUGAUAAUCCCGUACAUGGCAUGGAGCGCCCGAAGCUUUGUGAUACGCUUUCUAAGAGUCGAGUUGUUUGGGAAUGCAGCUCAAAAUGGGUGGUAAAUGCCAUCUAAGGCUAAAUAUUGGGGAGAGACCGAUAGCGAACAAGUACAGUGAUGGAAAGAUGAAAAGAACUUUGAAAAGAGAGUUAAACAGUACGUGAAAUUGCCAAAAGGGAAGGGUAGGAGGUCAGAGAUGCGGCCUGGGAUUCAGCCUUGCUUUUGCUUGGUGUUUUUCCCAGAUUGCAGGCCAACGUCGGUUUUGGGCACUGGAGAAGGGUAGGAGGAACGUGGCACCCCUCGGGGUGUGUUAUAGCCUCCUACUGGAUACAGCGACCGAGACCGAGGACAGCAGCGUACUCGCAAGAGCGGGCCUUCGGGCACCUUUACGCUUAGGGCGUUGGCAUAAUGGCCCUCUACCACCCGUCUUGA
rnacentral:rRNA from 1 species